rnacentral:rRNA from 1 species
UGGGGAAUAUUGCACAAUGGAGGGAACUCUGAUGCAGCGACGCCGCGUGAACGAAGAAGGCUUACGAGUCGUAAAGUUCUUUUAUAUGGGAAGAUAAUGACGGUACCAUACGAAAAAGCCCCGGCUAACUACGUGCCAGCAGCCGCGGUAAUACGUAGGGGGCUAGCGUUGUCCGGAAUCACUGGGCGUAAAGGGUUCGCAGGCGGAAAUGCAAGUCAGGUGUAAAAGGCAGUAGCUUAACUACUGUAAGCAUUUGAAACUGCAUAUCUUGAGAAGAGUAGAGGUAAGUGGAAUUUUUAGUGUAGCGGUGAAAUGCGUAGAUAUUAAAAAGAAUACCAGGUGCGAAGGCGACUUACUGGGCUCAUUCUGACGCUGAGGAACGAAAGCGUGGGUAGCAAACAGG